GUCUACGGCCAUACCACCCUGAACGCGCCCGAUCUCGUCUGAUCUCGGAAGCUAAGCAGGGUCGGGCCUGGUUAGUACUUGGAUGGGAAAGGGCUGAGGGUGUUAGUUGACG
rnacentral:rRNA from 1 species